GCGACCCAGGUCAGGUGGGAUUACCCGCUAAGUUUAAGCAUAUCAAUGAGCGGAGGAAAAGAAACUUACCAAGAUUCCCUUAGUAAUGGCGAGUGAGCCAGGAAGAGCCCAGCUUGAAAAUCGGGCACCCCUGGCGUCUGAAUUGUAGUCUGGAGAAGCGUCCUCAGCGGCGGACCGGGCCCAAGUCCCCUGGAAAGGGGCGUCGGAGAGGGUGAGAGCCCCGUCGCGCCCGAACCCUGUCGUACCACGAGGCGUUGUCUGCGAGUCAGGUUGUUUGGGAAUGCAGCCCAAAUCAGGCGGUAAAUUCCAUCCAAGGCUAAAUACGGGCGAGGGACUGAUAGCAAACAAGUACCGCGAGGGAAAGAAUAAAAGGACUUUGAAAAGAGAGUCAAAGAGUGCUUGAAAUUGUCGGGAGGGAAGCGGAUGGGGGCCGGCGAUGCGCCCCGGUCGGAUGCGGAACGGUGAGAGCCGGUCCGCCGAUCGGCUCGGGGCGCGGACCGAUGCGGAUUGCGGUGGCGGCCCAAGCCCGGGCCUUCGAUAAGCCUGUGGAGACGUCGUCGCCGCAAUCAUGGCUGGCAGCGCGCUCCCUCUAAGCGUGCUUCGCGUACCUGCGCGCUCCCGGCAUCGGCCUGCGGGAUCCCCACUUGGCCCGUCUUAAAACACGGGUAAGCCUUGUGUGCGAUCGCGCGCUGCCUUGCCUCGGGAGCGGGGGCUGCCUUCUUUGCGAGCGCGAGGGGCGUGCCCAAAGCCAGGCAAGGUUCGUUGCACGCUGUCCCCCACUGACCGAGAUUAGCUUGCGGGAAGUGACCGGGGCCUACCCAUGCGCUGGCUGGCGCGCAAGGGUGCCGCUCGCUAGCGCGCUGGCUACGCGCUUCCGUUGAUCAUUUCUCGCACAAAGGGAGGUUAUCUGUGCGGGAGUUGGCCUCGCACUACCCACGUGCCAGUGCGGACAGAAAAAAUACCUUUUUUCGCACUCUAAUUUUUUUUCUCUUUCUCUUGAAAAAACAUAACAUUUUAAUGGACCACGAUGCAAAAAAUAAGACCAUAAUUCAAUAUAGUUUUUUUUUUUUGGCUGGGGGUCAUCUCAAGAACUGGGGGUGUCUAUUGCUGGUCGGUCAAAAAUUGCUCUAAGACCUCUUUAGGGGGGUAGUAGAUGAGAGGUGCCUAGGUUGGGUGGUGAGUGUCCAGGCCUUUGGUGGCCUCGGCCUUGCUGCUUGGCCUCGGUCCUUCGGUGUUGGGACGUCCGUUGGAAUGUCACCGUCGAGCUCGCUCCGGCGUCAUUCCGGCAACAUUCCAACGACCUUGUUUCUGCGGAAAAAGUAAAUGUGUAUUGCUUUUUGCAUCCGACGGUGCUGGCUUAGCCUUGCUUGGUGUUUCCGUAGACCCGACGGCAAGUGAACGGAAGGGCGUGUGAGUGGUGAUUGGAGGGCGUCAGUCGGCAGGCUCCAUGCUCGUGCACCGAACUGCUCGAAGGCCAUCUGCUUUAGUCUUUCCCCAAGCGCAGCUGUUGACUUGAGGGUUCGUUUUGUAUCCUGUGCUGCCUACCAACAAAACGGAAUUGCUGCUUUCGAUUUUACCCGUCCGCCUUGUGCCCUUCCGGGUGCGGGGUGGACGCGAGGAGAGCUCCGUGUUCCUGGCAUGCCUCGCACUCAGACGCUUGGCCGCCUCGGCCCACGAAGUCUCUGCCCGUUCUCUUGGAUGCGGAAUGUUGUGCAUGGACGUGAGGUCUUGGCCUCGAUCGUCCAAGCUACACGCAUCGUCUCUUGACGUGAACGACCACCGCACCCGUCUUGGCCAACCGACCGAGGCCCUGAACGGGGCCCCGUGAGGGACAGGUCAGGCGGGUGCCGGCAUCGGGAAGGAGUGCUACCUGGUUGAUCCUGCAAGUAC
rnacentral:ncRNA from 1 species